rnacentral:lncRNA from 1 species
GAAUGUUAUACCUCAGUGCAAAUUGCUUAUCAAGCAAAGCAAAGCAAUAUUAGCGACUAAUGUACCUGAAAUCAAUCAAAUAUCAUCAGCAUACCAAUCACAGUACUAAACAGCAAAUGGUUCACAAUUAGCUAUAUACAAACAAACACAAUCCAAUGCACCAAAGUGCAAGCCAAUUCAAACUCAAAUAUCAAUCCCUGCAAAACAAAGUCAAAAUUAGCUAUACACAAGUCACAAGUCAAUUCCAAUGGGAGCACAUCAUCAAGCAUAGGCCAUUUGUGCUAUUAACCUGAAACACAACUC